rnacentral:tRNA from 1 species
GAGGGUAUAGCUCAACUGGUAGAGCACACCUUUUGCAGGCACAAGGUCCUGGGUUCAAUCCCCAGUACCUCCU